rfam:Triticum aestivum genome assembly, contig: Triticum_aestivum_CS42_TGACv1_scaffold_147183_2BS
AUAGUACUCCCUCCGUCCGAAAAUACUUGUCAUCAAAAUUGAUAAAAAUAGAUGUAUCUAGAAUUAAAAUACAUCUAGAUACAUUCCCUUUUAUCCAGUUUGAAGACAAUUAUUUCCGGACGGAGGGAGUACUAG